AAGGUAUCCCCAAGGCCCCAAUGUAGGAGCUGAUAUAACAAAGUAACCCACCAAAGCAAUCACAAGUUCACAACUCUAACUACUAGUCAUGGCUACUCUAUUGCCUCUCCUCUUCCUCCUCCUCCUCCAACCUCUCUUCUCCAUUGCCAAUGUCCACAAACUCAACCAACUCAGAUCAGAGCUCAUCUCCCAAUCCACUUCUCUCAAUGCCACCUCACCCACCCUUUACUUUGAAGUAACCCAACCCAUUCCAGUACCCCCAACCAAGCCUUGUUCUGAGCUCAUUCUCCAACAUGACUUUGCCUACACUUAUGGCAAACCACCAGUCUUUGCUAACUACUCCCCUCCCUCAAAUUGCCCAUCUCAGAACUUCUCCAAGAUUGUUCUUGAAUGGAACGCUACAAGCAAAGGAAGACAAUAUGACCGAAUUUUUGGGGUUUGGCUUUCUGGGGUUGAGCUUCUUAGGAGCUGCACAGCCGAGCCAAGGACCAAUGGGAUUGUCUGGAGUGUUGAGAAGGACAUCACCAGGUACUAUUCUUUGCUCCAAAAGAACCAGACACUCGCUGUUUAUCUUGGCAAUUUGGUUGAUUCAACAUAUACUGGAGUUUACCAUGUGAACAUAAGUUUUCAUUUUUAUCCUGCUGAGGCGAGUUUGCAUAGUUAUGAUCAAAAUGUGGGGGAUUUGGCAUCUGGGCACCAUUCUUGGGCCGAUUUGAUUCUGCCCAUCUCAAGAAAUCUGCCUUUGACUGAUGGGUUGUGGUUUGAAGUUGAGAAUUCAACUGAUACCGAGUCGAAGGAAUUUGAGAUUCCUCGAAAUGCUUAUAGGGCUGUGUUGGAGGUUUAUGUUUCAUUUCAUGAGAAUGAUGAGUUUUGGUAUUCCAAUCCUACUAAUGAGUACAUUGCUGCCAACAACCUUACUGGCACGCCCGGAAAUGGGCCUUUUAGGGAGGUUGUGGUGAGCUUAGAUGGUGUGCUUGUUGGUGCUGUAUGGCCUUUUACUGUGGUUUACACUGGAGGGGUCAAUCCUCUUCUGUGGAGACCCAUUACCGGCAUUGGCUCAUUCGAUCUACCUUCUUAUGAUAUCGAAAUCACACCGUUUUUAGGGAACAUUUUGGAUGGGAAGAGCCACAAGAUUGGGUUUAAUGUUACCAAUGCCUUGAAUGUAUGGUACAUCGAUGCAAAUUUGCAUAUUUGGUUGGACAAACAGAGCACAAGAACUCAAGCACAGCUUGUGAAGCAUGCUAGCUUGCCCCUUAUUGUUUCAGUGGUGUCGGAUUUUGUGGGUUUAAAUGGCACAUUUGUGACAAGGGUUAGCAGGUCAGUCUCAUCAACUGGGUGGGUGAAGUCCUCUAAUGGGAAUAUCACAACCCAGUCAAUUCAAGAUUUUUCCUACCUUAAUACAAUGGUCAUGGGGCAUGAUGGCAAUUUGCAGACAGUGGACCAGACCAUAAAUUUCAAUGAUACCGUUCUUGUUAAGCUGCCGUCUUCCUAUGUUCAUUCACUGAAAUCAAACAAAACAUUUCUCCUUUCCUUGUACACUGACUUGUUGGAACAAGAAGAUGGAACUUAUUUAUAUGUGACAAACGUUGAUUUGGGAUUCAUUGAGAAGAAAUCUGCAAGCGGUGGUUCAAGACUCUUGGAGAGCUCUCUCAGUAAUUUGCAGAAUGCAGAGGGUAAUAUGGUUGUAAAAAACAAUUUGGUAGUUAGCGGAGUGGGGAAUACACAGGAACUGUACAGAUAUCAUGGUGGCAAAUUCUGUUACUUCAGAAAUGUCAGUAGCUCAAACUACACCAUACUUUAUGAUGAAGUGGAGAAUACAUGCCACAACAAAGCCAAGUCUAAUUUUGAUUUUGUUUUGAGAAGACUGGGGCCUUUUGGUACUGGAUUUAUUUGAAGCUUAGCUCAGCUUUAUUCUUCAUGUUGGAUCUUCUUGUGCUAACAUGAAAGGACUCAGUUGGUAACUCUGAAGAGGAUUCCUGUAUGGUACCUCAAAUAAAAAUGAAAAUACCACUGAUUAUAGGAUCUUACUAUUCUGGUUGUUUGGCAUGGGUUCGCUUUACUUUUGAUCUGAACUCUGUAUAGAAAUCUAUUACUUAAUGGCAAUCCUGUAUCGUUGAGUUAAACUAUUAAACCUUAUAAUUCGACUUGCAAUACACAUUUGAGGCCAAGCCGAGCAAAGGACUAAUUUGCUGCUUUAUCUAUAUUAAGGUUUCGUAUUUCGAAUGAAACUAAAUUAUAGGAAACUCUGAGAUAUGGUCACAAAGUUGAAUCCAUAGCUCUCUAGUUGUAGUGGGGCAGUUGCGGCGCAUGCCCCAGAGUGCUUCUGCUGACAGUGUAGCAUUGAUGAACAGCAUCACUCUUAGAUCCUCUCUGCACCAAAUUUCGUAGCUUGGAUUAAUCUGUGAAGUAGUUGCUGUUGUUGAUGAUUCUGCUUCAUCGUCGUUCUGGACUCGAACGAAUUUCUCAGGGCACUCGAGUGAACCAUCCAAGUAGCCGAGGAGAUUGUAAGCCUCGAGUAUGGUGACGAUUACGUACCUCCAAGCGAAGAAGUUUUCAUUUUCCAAUUUGGAGGGUACGAGAUUGUGUACACUCGAAAGCAAAUCAGGCAAUUCGGAGCUUGAUGAUGAUGAGGAAUUAGGAGCAGCCAUGGUUACUAUUAGUACGUACCUGAUGGAACUUGCAGGACCUUAAUUAGUUGGACAUGCAGGAAUCAUAGAAUGAAUAUAUGAACUUGCAGGAC